UAGCAGCGUUCUUAAAAGGAGCGCUGGUAUUGGGUCUUUUGUACCAGCGCUCUUUUUAGGAGCACUAGUAUUGAGUCUUUAGCCUUUUUUCCCUUCCCUCCUUUUUUUUUUUUUUUCCCUUCCCUUCAUUUUUUUCCCUCCGUUGAUUUUGGGCCCUAAACUACUUCGUUUUUGAGAGCCAAUUAACACUUUAUUCCCCUUUCCCAUUUAAUUUUGCAAUAACCCUAACACCUUCAACCGCUCUCUCUCCUUCCAUCACAGCUCUCUCGCCCUUCCAUCACCGGUCAUCACAGCUCUCUCCUUCCAUCACCGGUCAUCAUAGCUCUCUCUCCUUCCAUCACCGGUCAGCGUUCCAAAACUGGUGGCUUGGUUUAGAGAGACAAAGUCACACACAAAGAGAGAAAGAGUCGUCGUUGGGGGUUUCCAAAACCUCGUCUACACUAACAGAUCGGACGAGAAUUUUUUUAGAGUAAACAUAUGACUCUCUUCGCGAAAGCCCUAACUCCUUGCCCCCGACCACUGGAUAUCACGAAAGCCUUGGAUAGCUCCUUGCCUCCUCCUUAUAGCUUUCUGAAGUCUAAACAAGGAAGGAUAAAUAAUAAGUUGACAAUGAAACGAACAGUUAGUGAAGUGGAAAAAGUGAGUGAACAAAAAGGGGGUCACAUGCUACUGAUGCUACUGCUUCGGAGAUGAUUGGUUCUGAUUCUUUAAAUGGUCCUCCUAGACCUCCAAAUUCAUUUUCUAAUCGUGAUGCCAAUUCAGUUAAGGGUAAUUCAAAUCAAAUGGGCAAGAAGACUUGUUGAAGUUGAAGUUGAAGCUGAAGAUGGGGGAGUGGAUGUGAUUUCUGAAUUUCUUUCGCCGUGGAUGGGUUCUUUUUGAAAAACUUGUACAACAUUUGUCAAAAAUUCUUAAUUCUUUUUGUGUGACAUUUAGUAGCUUUAUCUAGACAAUUUGGAUUGUAUCUUUAUAUUGGCCGGUUAACUUGUGGUUGUAUAAUAUUUUUGCUUUUUGGUUGA